AAAGAGGUAUUAAAAUGAUUACCAAGAAUUAGGUCAACAACAACAUGUUUCUUAAGGAAACUAAGCGGCCGCGUAAGGCUUGAAAAUACAGGUUGUCCCUCUACUAUAUAUGUUUUUCCUUGUUUCUUAACGGAUCAAUCAGGAUAUUCUCUUCCUUUUGUUGGUGAAAGGAUCUUCUCUUCCUAGAUGUGUUUAGAUACCACUUAUUAAUGUUACUCUUAGCUAAUUGGUGGUAGAUUGAAAGUUUGAGACUAGGAUAUAUAGAGUGCAGAUCAAAUUAACGCAAUUUCAUUUCUUGAAGAGCGCAAAUCAAAUUAACACAGUUGUAGUUCUUGAAUGCGGAAUUGUCUGAUUAACUCUUUGGUACAGGGCUCAUGAGCUUCUUCUUGGAGCUAAAGAGUACUCAACAACGGUGGAUACGUGGUCAGUGGGUUGCAUAAUGGCUGAACUGCUAACCAAUAAACCAUUGUUUGAUGGAAAAAGUGAGGUUGAGCAGCUCGACAUGGAAGACUUUUGUUAUUUCUGGUUGCCAUAUUUCUAAUCCAAAGUCAUGUCUUUUACCUUAUCUUUUGGUGCUCGUUAUUUUUAAUGUGUUCAAUGGCCCUUUGUAAAUAUUCAGAACACUAGGCUCACCAACUGACAAGAUUUGGCCGAAAUAUUCUCAAUUGCCUGGGGUCAAUACUAACUUUGUACACCAACCGCGAGUAUUCAUUUUCAUGCUGUUUCAUUAUGCUUUACUGUUAUGGCUUAUUAUGCCGGUUUAAGAUGUUCGUAUAUGGCGUAACAAAAUAUUCGUAUGAGUUUUAUUCGUAUGGCGUAACAAAA